CCUACGGGAUGCUGCAGUGGGGAAUAUUGGACAAUGGGCGAAAGCCUGAUCCAGCCAUGCCGCGUGUGUGAAGAAGGCCUUCGGGUUGUAAAGCACUUUCAGUGGGGAAGAAAGCCUUGGGGCUAAUACCCUCGAGGAAGGACAUCACCCACAGAAGAAGCACCGGCUAACUCCGUGCCAGCAGCCGCGGUAAUACGGAGGGUGCGAGCGUUAAGCGGAAUUACUGGGCGUAAAGCGCGCGUAGGCGGUCUGAUAAGCCGGUUGUGAAAGCCCCGGGCUCAACCUGGGAACGGCAUCCGGAACUGUCAGGCUAGAGUGCAGGAGAGGAAGGUAGAAUUCCCGGUGUAGCGGUGAAAUGCGUAGAGAUCGGGAGGAAUACCAGUGGCGAAGGCGGCCUUCUGGACUGACACUGACGCUGAGGUGCGAAAGCGUGGGUAGCAAACAGGAUUAGAUACCCCAGUAGUC
rnacentral:rRNA from 1 species